CCUACGUACCAAUUGUGCAAGCAUAUCCUGUUUGAUUCCACUCGCAUAUCCAAAAUUUGGUGCGAAUCAUGUGGUAUUAAAAGGCAUUGUACGUAGAACUACCAUGACAACUCGAACAUGAGGAAUUGCAAGGGAAGCAGAUGUGGGGUUAGCGAAUAACAGGGCAAUUCUCUUUUGGCAAAAGAGAAUAUGCACAUGCAUAUUGCAUACUUCUAUUUCGCCAAAGGAGAAUUGCCCUGCCAUUCACCUGCACAUGAUUAUUUCAUGCCUGUAACUUCAAUAUAUCGUGGCUAUUCCAACAAUUAAGCUUGUUAUGGUUUCUAACCUUGUCUUUACUACAAGCAUUUGCUUUCUCUUGCCAAUGUAAAAAUUCAAUUCUUUUAUUGUUUGUCAGGUAAACGUUGAACAACUAGGAUCAUCAACAUCUGUGGAUAGAAGUUUGACGUGAAUUGGUGAAUCCAACAUGGGCACGGAGCAUAAGACUUGUACGACUACAGGAAUCUCUACAUGAAUUUUGUAUUUUCCAUCGUAAUGGUUUACUGUUAUCUCAAAAGUGACCUCGCAUUGAUCUAU